rnacentral:pre_miRNA from 1 species
CUUGUACUCCCUCCAUCCAAAAAUACUUGUCAUUGAAAUGGAUGUAUCUGGAUGUAUUUUAGUUCUAGACACAUCCAUUUUGAUGACAAGUAAUUCCGGACGGAGGGUGUACUUG